UACGUAGGGUGCAAGCGUUGUCCGGAAUUAUUGGGCGUAAAGAGCUCGUAGGCGGCUUGUCGCGUCGGCUGUGAAAACCUGGGGCUCAACCUCGGGCCUGCAGCCGAUACGGGCAGACUAGAGUUCGGCAGGGGAGACUGGAAUUCCUGGUGUAGCGGUGAAAUGCGCAGAUAUCAGGAGGAACACCGGUGGCGAAGGCGGGUCUCUGGGCCGAUACUGACGCUGAGGAGCGAAAGCGUGGGGAGCGAACAGG
rnacentral:rRNA from 1 species